GAUAACAUUCGGAAACGGGUGCUAAUACCGCAUAAUAUCUUCUUCCGCAUGGAAGGAGAUUGAAAGACGGCUCUGCUGUCACUUAUAGAUGACCUUGCGGUGCAUUAGUUAGUUGGUGGGGUAACGGCCUACCAAGACGAUGAUGCAUAGCCGACCUGAGAGGGUGAUCGGCCACAUUGGGACUGAGACACGGCCCAAACUCCUACGGGAGGCAGCAGUAGGGAAUCUUCCGCAAUGGGCGAAAGCCUGACGGAGCAAUGCCGCGUGAGUGAAGAAGGCCUUCGGGUCGUAAAACUCUGUUAUAAGAGAAGAACAAAUUGUAGAGUAACUGCUACAGUCUUGACGGUAUCUUAUCAGAAAGCCACGGCUAACUACGUGCCAGCAGCCGCGGUAAUACGUAGGUGGCAAGCGUUGUCCGGAUUUAUUGGGCGUAAAGGGAGCGCAGGUGGUUUCUUAAGUCUGAUGUGAAAGCCCACGGCUUAACCGUGGAGGGUCAUUGGAAACUGGGAAACUUGAGUACAGAAGAGGAAUGUGGAACUCCAUGUGUAGCGGUGGAAUGCGUAGAUAUAUGGAAGAACACCAGUGGCGAAGGCGACAUUCUGGUCUGUUACUGACACUGAGGCUCGAAAGCGUGGGGAGCAAACAGG
rnacentral:rRNA from 1 species